CCCUUAGAUGUCCUGGGCUGCACGCGCGCUACACUGAUGUGUCCAGUAAGCACCUAACCUCUUCCGAAAGGAACGGGUAACCUUUGCAAAGCACAUCGUGAUGGGGAUAGAUUAUUGCAAUUAUUAGUCUUGAACGAGGAAUUCCUAGUAAGCACAAGUCAUCAGCUUGUGUUGAUUACGUCCCUGCCCUUUGUACACACCGCCCGUCGCUCCUACCGAUUGAAUGUUCCGGUGAGCUCUUCGGACUGCGCGGUCUGCAGUUUCUGCGUUCCGUGCGGAAAGUUGCGCAAACCUUAACAUUUGGAGGAAGGAGAAGUCGUAACA
rnacentral:rRNA from 1 species